CGUCGCCGCGGUAAUACGAAGGGGGCUAGCGUUGUUCGGAUUUACUGGGCGUAAAGGGCGCGUAGGCGGACUGAUAAGUCAGGGGUGAAAUCCCAAGGCUCAACCUUGGAACUGCCUUUGAUACUGUUUGUCUUGAGUUCGAGAGAGGUAAGUGGAACUGCGAGUGUAGAGGUGAAAUUCGUAGAUAUUCGCAAGAACACCAGUGGCGAAGGCGGCUUACUGGCUCGAAACUGACGCUGAGGCGCGAAAGCGUGGGGAGCAAACAGGAUUAGAUACCCCCGUAGUCCCUGUCUCUUAUACA
rnacentral:rRNA from 1 species